ensembl:lncRNA
UUCAGCUGUUUGCAAUGAACAAAUCAAACAAAAACAAUUGAAAUAGUUCAACACAGCGAAUGCUUCAAGUGAUUUCCCAAAUUCAACUGAAAAUGCAACUUAUAAUGACUUCUCCUGUCUCAAAAUUAUUCAACCCCUUCAUGGCAAGCAUCUUUAGUACUCAGACGAGCACCCUUUUGCUGUUAUGACCUGCUGCAAACGAGAUGCAUAGCUUCUGGCAAUGUUCCUGAGGAAUCUUGGCCCAUUCCUCAUGAGCAAUGUCCUCCAGUUCAAUAAUAUUCUUGGGUUUGCAUUCUGCAACCACCUUCUUCAAAUCCCACCAGAGAUUUUCUAUGAGGUUUACGUCAGGUGACUGUGAUGGCCCUGUAAAAUCUUUCAGGACUUCUUCAUCCAAGCCUUGGUGGAAUUUGAGGUAUGCUUGGGAUCACUGUCCUGUUGGAAGGUCCACCGUUGCCCAAGCUUCAGCUUCCUCACAGCCAGCAUGAAGUUUUCUCCUAGGAUUUCCUGAUACUUCGAUGAAUCCAUCUUGCCUUCCACACGAUGCAGGUUUCCAGUGCCAGAGGAUGCAAAGCAGCCCCAGAGCAUCAUCGAGCCACCACCAUGCUUGACUGUGGACACAGUGUUCUUUCUUCAUUCUUCUUCCUCCAAAAAAAACUUUUGUUUCAUCGCUCCACAAAACAGAAUCCCAAAACUUCUGUGGCUUAUUUAUAUGAUUUUGAGCUGACUUUUCUUGUGCUUUAGGGUCAGUAGUGGUGUACGUCUUGGAGUUCUGGGAUGGAAACCUUCGUCGUUUAGUACGUGCCUUACUGUACUCACUGAAACCUCAGUGUCUGUUGCCACCAAGUCUUGCUGCAGGUCUUUUGCAGUCACUCGAGGGUUUUUCACAACCUGCCUUCUCAGAAAUCUGUUUUCAGCCGUUGGUAGCUUCCUUUUUCUGCCCUGUCCAGGUAUUUCGUGAGUUUUCUACCCCUAGCCAGUUCAGGUAUGCUUGAGACAACACCUGUUUUGCCUAUUUGUGUUGACGUGAGGGGUUCUGUUCAGGGGGUUGAAUAAUUGUGAGACAGGAGUUGUCAUUAUAAAUUGCAUUUUCAGUUGAAUUUGGGGAAACCACUUGAAGCAUUCGUUGUAUUGACCUAUUUCCAUUGUUUUUGUUUGAUUUGUUCAUUGCAAACAUCUGAAAGUCUGUAAAUUUUGACAAUAAACCUGAUUUGCAAUGGGGGUUGAAUAAGUUGCACUGCAAUACAUAACAUGACUAUAUUUAUAGUCUAUAUUGGUCCAGUAGAAGGGGUAAAUCCUGUCCAUACCCACCUAGGAAAAAAAUGAUAAAGGCACUGGCAUUUUCUGAAGUGGUGUCCAGGAAAUGUUCAUCUGUAAUUGUUUGUCUUUAUUUUUUUUCUCCCAUUUUACUGUAUAGAGUAGGCAAAACUGUA